UGGAUUGGUUACGAGUCUAUAGUUAAUCCUUCAAUAACUCCCACAAGCACCUCAUUACUCAUAAUACUGUGACAUCCUGAGUUGUAAAAGAGGUGCUGUUACAUAACACAGGCACUGUAUAGCAGCCUUAGGUCAUGAAUAUUAAGAGACAAUCUCAAAUGAGAUAAUAUCAAUAAAGACCUCCUGUCGUCUCUACCCAAGAAAUAAACUAAAGGAAGGCAGUGUCCUUGCAGGCAUUUUGACAUCAGGGAUGGGCAAAAACAUACAUCCAUUUAAGAAUUCUAGAAUCAGAGACUAGGAAGAGUUGAAACAACCUUACAGAUCACUUGAUGCACUUUAUAUAGACCCAGGGGAGAAACAAAAAGACCAACCACUAAAGCUGCUAAAACAAGAUAAAGCAUACUGCAAGGGAAAGGCUGGAGCAGUUCACUGGCUGAAGUUGUAAACUCCAUCAAGAGACACACAAUCAGAUGGCACAACUGUCUUCGGUGGGUCACAGUUUUCCAAGUACAAAGGCGGUGCCUACCGAAGCUCUGGGAUUCUGGAAAAUAUACUGGACUUGGAGUAAGACAAUCUCAGUCCACGUUCCUAGUUCUAGGAUUUUAGGCAUAACACUUGGCUUUUAGGGCAUUGUAUUUUCUUUAUAGUAACAUGGUAUUAAAAUGAUGCCUAUCAACAGGCUUGUCAGGAUGAGUCAACAGCAUAUUAGAUGGGAAAACACCAUAAAGUACAAAAGGCUUGUUAUCGUCAGUCUCCUUUGGUUGUUAUAUUGGUUAAGAGGACUAAUUGUUGCCUCUCUCCAAGUUCAGAACUAAUUCAAACAUACAUAGAGGAGUCAGAGGUGGAUCAAACAUUAUUUUUAUUACUAGUUAAGUUGGAUUUAAGAACAUGGCUUGACUUAUAGCUUCCUACUGUAUCCUAUAACACACUAUUUUUUCAUAUUCUGCCCUUUCUCCUUCAUUAUACUAUAAGCUUUUGGAGAGAAGAAAUUAUGCUUUAUAUCUCUCUGCAUCCCUAGAGUUUUUCACACAGCCAUAACCCCAGCAGGUGUGCUAUUUGAUAAAGGAGACUGCAUUUGUACCACAGUUUUCUGUGUGAAGCCUUUUUUCUCCACUGGCCUGGGAACUCUUGGAGGGCAGGGUUCAUGUCUUUUCAUUCCCAGUGCUUAGCAUAAUACCUAGCACUUAGUAGAUUCUUUAUAAAAGUGUGUUGAAAGAUCAUGAAAACAGAAGGGUACCAAAUGAUCUGGUGCCACCCAGGGGUUGCAGAGAGGGAUUUAUUUAUUUAUUUAUUUAUUUUUAGGAUUAUUAUGAAUAACAGUGAAUAUAAAUAUGGAUUGCAAAUAGUCCUUUUGGUGAUUUCAAAAUUUUCUGGUUGGCCUCUGAGACAGGUGGCAUCUUAAUGAAAGAGGGGAAGCUCCCCAUCUGGGAAGGCUCAGAAGUGGGGCCUACCCUAUUUCCUUAACACUCAGGACACUAGGAAGCCUUGCAGUUUACUUGUAUCCAAGUGAGGGGAUUUGCCUAUUCUGUUAUCUACUUUGAAAUGUUAGCUCCUAAAACAUGGGCAGGUAGCUUAAAAAGACGUCUGAAAUAAACACUGGAUUGAAGGCAAUGCUAAUAACGGAAGCACAAGUGAACAACAAGCAAAAGGCAGGCUGACACUUCUAUUAUUCUUGAUAUAAACUUUUCUUCAACCAUGUUAUAAAGUAAAAAAUAAUGAUGAAAUAAGCAGAGAGGGAUUUAAAGGAGGGCUGUCUUCUAAGGAUCCCAUUCUUGACAGUUUGUUCAUUUGGAAAAUAGCACUACCUGCAAAUUAUUGUGAUUGAAGGUUUUAUUUGAGACAGUUUUCCCCAGGAGAAACUUCAGCUUCUGUUUACUUGUUAGGCACCCUGGCUAUCUGGGCAUCUGAGCCCUGGACAUCUUAAUUAGAGUUGGUCUGCUAAUGUCCAUAGCAGAGAGGAACUGUCACUUGGUAAUUAACUUAGAGCCAUGACAGAAGCCUGUGACAUCUGAUGUUUCAGAAUAUAACAACCCUUGUUCUUCUCCCAAGGGAUGCAUACGCCAUGAAACAAUUUCCUUUGGAGUUUCUGGUAGAAUCUGCUAACAUAAUAUCUAAGAUGAGAUGGCAUGCAGAGGUCUCUGUAAGGAGUGAGGACCUCAAAACACUCUUGUGAAGUAUGCUGCUCCUCAGUUCAGGGCCUUGCAGAGGAUCUGAGACAACAAACCUUCCUGUACAGAUAAACUCUUGGUGCCUCAGUGGGGUGAGUGCAUGAGAUGUGGCUUACUCAGCUGUGGCCACCUGGGCAGGGUUGUUGUGGAGUCAGGUCCUCUGCUUUAUGUGAUUCUUUCUGUGUUUUUUAAGCCCUGAGCUGUGCUUCCAGAGACGUCUGCACCUGUGCACUGCAUUUUGGACUAUAUGCUCUGUGGACGCUGUGAGAAUCCCCUAACUUUGCUUUUUUUUUUUUUAGGACAAAUCAGAAUAAAACAAUUCAACUUUCAAGGUAUUAAAAGGAUUCACCAACUCCUAUCUCUUAACACAAUGGCCA